GCCAAUAUAGUGUAGUGGUUUGAGCAUUGCACUAUGACGCUGGAGAUCAGGGUUCAAAUCCUAGUUUGGCCA